CCUACGGGAGGCAGCAGUGGGGAAUUUUGGACAAUGGGGGCAACCCUGAUCCAGCAAUGCCGCGUGAGUGAAGAAGGCCUUCGGGUUGUAAAGCUCUUUUGUCAGGGAAGAAACAGCAGCUCUAACACAGUCUGCGAAUGACGGUACCUGAAGAAUAAGCACCGGCUAACUACGUGCCAGCAGCCGCGGUAAUACGUAGGGUGCGAGCGUUAAUCGGAAUUACUGGGCGUAAAGCGUGCGCAGGCGGUUAUACAAGACAGGCGUGAAAUCCCCGGGCUUAACCUGGGAAUGGCGUCUGUGACUGUAUAGCUAGAGUGUGUCAGAGGGGGGUGGAAUUCCACGUGUAGCAGUGAAAUGCGUAGAUAUGUGGGGGAACACCAAUGGCGAAGGCAGCCCCCUGGGAUGACACUGACGCUCAUGCACGAAAGCGUGGGGAGCAAACAGGAUUAGAUACCCUGGUAGUCCACGCCCUAAACGAUGCUGGCUAGUUGUUGGGAAUUUACAUUCUCAGUAACGUAGCUAACGCGUGAAGUCAGCCGCCUGGGGAGUACGGUCGCAAGAUUAAAACUCAAAGGAAUUGACGG
rnacentral:rRNA from 1 species